CGUAUGAGCGAGGACAAUUACUAUCCUCCCGUCAAUACAGGGCACAUCAGGCUUUCGUAAGGGACAAUUGAUUCGGGCAAAAAGGGACAAAGUCCCCGACCGAUCUUUUGCUUCUACAUACAAGACUUCGAGCAACCCUUGGGCGUCCAAUGCCUGCUAGCUAAAUAAGAAAAGCAAGAGCGAACGUACAUGGGUGCUAAAUGGUCUACGUCGCACAAAACCUUUUAGCACGAGAUAGAGUAUGGAUCGUGGGACUAGAGCAUUCCGUCAAAAUAGGUAUGCUGCACAGGGGGCCAAGGCAGUCCAAGGUAAAAGAUUUAGCACUCAAACAGAAUUGAACAGGUGUGAACUAGCGAUUAUCGCUGCCAGGGCAGGGAACCAACCAACCGGAACAUACC
rnacentral:misc_RNA from 1 species